GACGAACGCUGGCGGCGUGCUUAACACAUGCAAGUCGAGCGGCGCGGCGAACGGGUGAGUAACGCGUGAGUAACUGCCCCCCUCUCUGGGGUAACAGUUGGAAACGGCUGCUAAUACCGGAUAGUGGGGGAUGACUCGCGUCCUAUCGGCUUGUUGGUGGGGUAGUGGCCUACCAAGGCGACGACGGGUAGCCGGCAUGAGAGGGCGACCGGCCACAUGGGGCUGAGGGACGGCCCAGACGGCUACGGGGGGCAGCAGUGGGGAAUAUUGCGCAAGGGGGGAAACCCUGAGGCAGAAACGCCGCGGGCGGGAUGACGGCCUUCGGGUGGGAAACCGCUUUCAGCCAUGACGCGGUAGUGGCAGAAGAAGCACCGGCUAACUACGUGCCAGCAGCCGCGGUAAUUC
rnacentral:rRNA from 1 species